AUUGCCAGUUGACGUCAACAGUAAGCCUUAUGGAAAAAUGAAAAUUCAGCAAAUGGCAGUUGUGAAAAAGUGUUAUGUUUCUAUGUAGUCUAAAGAAGAUUGAAGAUUUUUAUUUGGGAAGAUUUUUUUUUUUUUUUUUUUUUUCUGGGGCACAUGGACUGAGUUAUUGGGGAAUGGACUGAGUUACUGGGGAAAUGGACAUAGCAGUUAGAACAUCGCAGGACCAGCGUGGGACCGGGCCGGGGGGAGGACCGAAGCCGGGAGCCAGGCAGGACAGGACCAGAGGAAGGAUCGCAGUGGAGCCAGGCAGGACAGGACCACAGGGCCACGUAGAGGGAGGAUCAAGGGACCAGCACAGCAGAAGGGAUGGGACCAGCAGAGGCCAGCUGUUACCAGUCGCCCGGGCUACACCAGGGGGAGCCAAAGCAGAGGGGCAGUGUAGCAGCUAUCCCAGAUCGAACCAGCCAGCAGUGAGGGUGGGACGGUGUGAUCUCAUAGCGCCACAAGUAGCUGGGUUUGUAUGUUGGGUAGAGAGGUAUUUUGUAACGUUAGCAACAAUAGAGUUUAGGAAAUGUUUAAAGAACACAAUUUCUCGCACAGCUUUUCUUCCUUUUUCACAGGCAAGCUGCGUAGUUCGUGUUGUACCUCACCUUCCUGUUUUGCGGUGACGUGAAUGUUGGUUUCUGCUGUGGUGAAUGCCUUGAUAGUGUGGUGGCAAGAGGAACGGCUCUAUUUGGGACGUCUCUACCCCUCCAAACCGAAGUAGUUCCCCCGGCUUAAAGGCGUGGCGGUCACGUUCUGUAGAUCUUCCCUCCAAGGUUAUCAGCGUCGGUGUGCGCUUGGAUCACCCUGGUACGCCCCCUAGAGGUUAUCGCUCGGCAUUCUUCAGAUUUCGAGAGCGCUUCCAUUGGUACACAUAAGCUUCAUUUAGAACGACCAGCUGUGAGUUAAAGCAUGAGGUGUACAUGUGGGUGUAGCUAUCCUGUACAUUUGACAAAGUUUUUUUUUUUUUUUUUAUGAAGUAGAUGUGGGUGGGGGCGGGGAAUUUAAACGGUGUUUCGAGUUCUCUUUUUUCAGGCCUGCACCCCUAAAGCUGACCAACGAAAGCAUCGCCCCUGUCAUAUCUCCGUGGUACAAGUUGCGCUCACCUUUUACUUAGGACAGUGGAUUGGGAUCGUUCUUAUCCUGUUUUAAUCUUGUAGGCAGGUAUUUAAUCUUGUCUAGUACCACAUUUUGUACAGUUGUGUUUGAGGGGUAUACCUAUUUUGGGUAUUGUGGGGGUGGGCUGGGGUGUGGGACUUAAUGAGUCUCUCCCUAGACUUUACAGCUCGUGUUCCCCUAAGCAAACUGGCAUGAUUAGGAAACGCCCAGGUGCAUCAAGAAUCAAGUGGACACACACCUCGCAGCGUAGCCUCUCCAAUCAUAGUCCUCCACAUGUAGCCAGAAGCUGUUAUUCCCGUCAGUGCGGUAAUUGGUCUCUUUAUUAGAAGUCUUUGUUAUUUCUGCAACUCGUUUUUUUGCCUUGUUGGGUGUGGGAGGGGGAUCUGUACUUGUGACUCUUGCAGAUAAAGUUAAAGGCCCACUAUUCAAAAGCAACAUCUCCGAUUCCCCCAAAGGAUGGAGCCUCCGCAUUCAGGCCCAGGGUUGUGUUCUGCUGCUGUAAGAUUAUCUUAAGGACUUUACUGAGCUAAGUAGCUGAAUCCGUUAUUGCUGUAAUUUUGGUUUUGUCUUGAGCUUUUUGUUUGGGUAUGGAAUUGUGGGGAGAGGUCUUCUCUUGCAUUUUUUCAGUGUGCUGUGUCCUGUGCGCUCCAAUAUCCUGAGGUCAUGAGGAACUCAUUGUUUGUACAAGUUGCAUUGCACAUCAAACAUCACGUAAGGUCACUAAAUGUUUUCCAGUUUAACAUUCAUUGUCUGGCGAAGUGCCUCCAUUGCUAGUCCUUUGCAAUUAGUUACGGAGCUUUGUAUUUACAAUACAAUGAGUAAACUAUCUGUAAAGGCUUUUUUUUGCAUAAUAAAUGCAUAGCUUGUUGUGACUGAAUACAGUUUUGGUAUGCAUUUGUUUUUUGGGGGGGGGGGGCUUGUGUGGGGAGCUUUUCUUAUGCUUUUUCAGGUAUGUCUUAAAGUUGGAGCUUUGUUGAGCACGGAUGUGACCGGGGCUUGAAGUCUAUUCAAAGUGGAAGUGAAGGCAGAUAAGUGGAGUCCAUCAAAUGUUUGAAAUGCAGAUAAAUGACCCUAGAAGAUCCUAGUGCAAGCUAAAGCCUUCCAGAACUUGAAAGUCACUUUGCUAAGUAGACCAAUGAAUCUGUUCCUGAUUCUAAGAUUUGAUGGAACGUUAAUUCUGAUAUCUGCUGUAAAGCAUUUGGUAAGGAUAACAACAGUGAGUUCUAUGAUUGCGAUGUGGGCAGGGGAUCUUUUCUCUCAUUUUUACAGAAGUGUCCAGAGGAUCAGAUUCUGCCAAGGAAAUUGGACUGCUGCCUCUCAGCUCCAGAAACCCCCUGUUGGGUCAGACAAGUCAGGUUACAGUGUGUACACACUGAAAUAUGUCACUAGCCCUUGUGCAACUGUACAUGUGGCAAGCUAUUAAUCCUAAAACUGUCACGCAACUGUGUGACUUGUAGUGACUAUUUAAAUGUGCAUUGCACAGAUGAGCUCUUAAGUAUAGCAAUGCAAUUGUGUUGCUGUAGGUGGUUUUGGAUCUGUCCCUCCCAUUCUUUUUCCAGAAACUGAUUGAAGCCUGAAUGAAGACUACAAAAAAUAGUAAGCGUUGGCAAAUUUGUCAAAUUGAACUUCUGCAAUGUUGGAGUUGACAAUGUGAGAUCUUUGAACUAGCUUUGUUAUCCUCAAAUCAUUUGUAACAAUGCUUUACUAGAUUCCUCUUUGGCCACUGGGCCCUAAUGCUUUGCAUCUCAAACUGUAAGAAGUGUAGUACCCAAAUCUUCAAAUAUUGUGUGGUGGGUGUGUUGUGUAGAUCACUCUUUGUUUCAGAUCAUUUGCGUCUGUCCACUCCGAUCUCGCCUGCCUCUGAAUGCAAAGCCAUCUGUGGAAGCUGUCCGCGAGUGUUUCCCCCUGAAUGAAGUUUCGACCCUCUGCGCUUCAGCUUAAAUUAUCCCUGAUGUUCUCUGCAGAAGUCCCCUCUGUGUCUGUGUGCCCCUUUCCCCCUUUGGUUUUCUUAGGUAAAAUUCCCCAAUAUCUUUAUUUGG
ensembl:lncRNA